ensembl:lncRNA
CACAGCCACCCUGAUUGCUGUAAUUGCAGCUGAAAAAGUGAUGCUGAGCUUUCAGUCCCAAUGUAUCACACAGUACAGAGGCUGGCACGCUGGCUUUUUUGACUAUUUAUCUGUUUAACUGUUCCCCCAAUUAAAUUCUAAAUGCAAAACAGCGCCUUCUAGAACUGUUCAUUGACAAGCAGUACUGUCGGAUUGUUUUAUGAAGUAAACCUUCAUUCCUAUUACUCAUUCGGGAACAAAUUAGUAAAAAUGGGCCUGUAUUUGAAUGCACUUUUUACUUGUAACGUUGUGAUGGAAAAUGGCUGCCCCUGAAAACCCACGUUUGCAUUCAGAUAGGGUAAUUCUGCCUGUGUGCUUAUGUCCAGGCCUGCUUGUGCAAACUGUGCUCAUGUAAAUGUUGUGGAUGCAGUAGUGGUCGUGAUGAAAAGUCCUGACUGUGUCAGCUACAGGAUGGGAGCGUCUAAUCACUGAUAAAAAACCAACAGUCUUCAUGUUGAAGAGAUACAGAAGACCCAGAAUUCCAAGCUGCAGAUUCUGCUACAGGCCCAGUCCUUCCUGUAAGAGAUUUCCUUUGCAGGGAGCUUCACUCGGCCUUGUGGUGAAGCUGUGUUCCCUGCUUUCUGCCAUGACUUGCUGGAGCUCGUGCCAAUCUGGGAUUCUUCACCCUUUCCUGCUCUCAUGAAAUAACCGUAAAAUCUACUGGCAACAAACAUGUCCCAACCCCAUCCUUCACGUUUCCAUGUAGAAAAGGAUAAUCUGCUUACUUAUUGGCCUCUGUUUUAAGUGAAGUGACAGAAUGGUGUAAUGUGAAUAUGGCUUUCAGCACUAGAGCUGACUGUGAUUUUCAUUUAAGGUUUUUAUUUUAUCAAGCAAGUAGUUUUCUUUCUUUGUUCUUCAUUAGUUUCCUUGUUAAAAUUUCGUGACUUAUGCCUUUGCAAUUUGACAGUCUUAUGUGCUCUGGCCUUUAGUUAAAAUGGUAUUGCUUUCCAUUGGAUUCCAUUCUGUGAAUGAGUUGCCUUUCUAGAAAGGUCAUAGUCUAUAGGAUCCUUGCAUCAUUUUAUGAAGAAUUUGGUAAAUGUACAGUGGCUAAUGCUAGACACUGGAAUAAGAAAAGAGCAGCUUAUGAAGACAGUUGAGUGCUACUCUACAGAGUUAUGUAUUUGGCCACUGCAUAUGUGCUGUCAGACGAGGAAUCGGUAGAUUAAAACAGAUUUUUCA